UAAUGAUGGAGGUGAACCGAAGUCCGGUCCAUGUUUAAUUUUAAGAAGUGCAAGUUCCAUAGUAGCUCUCGCAUCUUCAAUACUAUCGUGGCCAUUUCCAGAUUGUUGAAUCUCUCUGGAAAGAAAUCUUUUAGUAAGAAUCCGAAGCGCAGAUUUAUGAGAGCCGCCACGGGGAUGCUUAUAUAGUACUGCAGUAUCAAUCACCAGAUCAUGAGAGAUCUUCAAUGCCAUCAGGUCAUUCUCCAGUGAAUGGCCAACUAAAACAGUCUCCUUGUGAACCAGAUUUAAAAAAUCUCUCUGAGCAUCUUCCAGACUAGUGG
rnacentral:misc_RNA from 1 species